UAACGCGUAGGUAACCUGCCUUGUAGCGGGGGAGUAACUAUUGGAAACGAUAGCUAAUACCGCAUAACAAUGGGUGACUCAUGUCAUUUAUUUAAAAGGGGGCAAAAUGCUCCACUACAAGAUGGACCUGCGUUGUAUUAGCUAGUAGGUGAGGUAACGGCUCACCUAGGCGACGAUACAUAGCCGACCUGAGAGGGUGAUCGGCCACACUGGGACUGAGACACGGCCCAG
rnacentral:rRNA from 1 species